rnacentral:rRNA from 1 species
GUUUUGUUUUUAUAAUUUUUGUUUGUUAUUUAAUUUUGUGGAUUUUAUAGUGAUUUUCAAUUUGAUUAUGUUAAAAUUUUAUUUAUUUCUUUUGUUAUUUUGGUUUGAUUUAAUUAUUUAUUGGAAUAUUUUCUUUACUUUUUAUUGGAUUGUAAUUAUUGUGGAAUUAGUAAAUUUGUUUAUUGUGUUGUUUUAUUUUUGUGUAAUUUCUUUUGAGGAAUUAGGCAAAUUUUGUGUCCGCCUGUUUAACAAAAACAUCUUUUCUUGUUAGUUUUUGAAGUAUGGCCUGCCCGCUGACAUUUGGUGUUGAAGGGCCGCGGUAUUUUGACCGUGCAAAGGUAGCAUAAUCAUUAGUUCUUUAAUUGUGAUCUGGAAUGAAUGGCUUGACGAGGCACGGGCUGUCUUAGUGUUGAAUGUUUUAUUGAAUUUGGUCUUUGAGUUAAAAUUCUUAGAUGUUUUUGUGGGACGAGAAGACCCUAUAGAGUUUGACAUUUGGUUUAUUUACUUGUUUGUUGUUUGUUUAUUUUUGGUGAGUGGGCUUUUUGUUUUGUUGGGGUGAUGGGAGGAAUGUACUUAACUCCUCUUAGUUUUGGUUAUAUUGAUUUAUAAUUGUUUGAUCCAUUUAUUUUGAUUAUAAGACUAAAUUAC